UACCAGCACCCCGAGUGGUCGGGACGUUUUAUUGGGCCUAAAGCAUCCGUAGCCGGUUCUACAAGUCUUCCGUUAAAUCCAGCUGCUUAACAGAUGGGCUGCGGAAGAUACUAUGGAGCUAGGAGGCGGGAGAGGCAAGCGGUACUCGAUGGGUAGGGGUAAAAUCCGUUGAUCCAUUGAAGACCACCAGUGGCGAAGGCGGCUUGCCAGAACGCGCUCGACGGUGAGGGAUGAAAGCAUGGGGGAGCAAACCGG
rnacentral:rRNA from 1 species